rnacentral:rRNA from 1 species
GCAUCAGCUGGGUGGUGGAUUCCCACAGGCCGUAAACCCAAGGUUUCCAGGGGAAGGUUCGUCCGCCCUGGUUAGUCAGGACCUAAGCCGAGGCCGAAAGGCGUAGGUGAUGGACAACAGGUUGAUAUUCCUGUACCACCAAUAACCGUUUGAGAAAUGGGAUGACACAGUAGGAUAAGCUAACCGCACUGUUGGUUAUGUGCGGGCAAGUAUUGAGGCAGUUCCGAUAGGCAAAUCCGUCGGAAUAAUGCUGGGGUACGAUGCGGAGCGAAAUUUAGUAGCGAAGUAGCUGAUUUCACACUGUCGAGAAAAGUCUCUAUCGAGGUUAAAGGUGCCUGUACCGCAAACCGACACAGGUGGGUGAGGAGAGUAUCCUAAGGCCAGCGAGAGAACUGUUGUUAAGGAACUCGGCAAAAUGACCCCGUAACUUCGGGAGAAGGGGUGCCUUCGAAAGAAGGCCGCAGAGAAUAGGCCCAAGCGACUGUUUACCAAAAACAUAGGUUUCUGCUAAGUCGCAAGACGAUGUAUAGGAGCUGACGCCUGCCCGGUGCUGGAAGGUUAAGGGGAUCUGUUAGAGCAAUCGAAGCAGUGAACUUAAGCCCCAGUAAACGGCGGCCGUAACUAUAACGGUCCUAAGGUAGCGAAAUUCCUUGUCGGGUAAGUUCCGACCCGCACGAAAGGCGUAACGAUUUGGGCACUGUCUCAACAACAGACUCGGUGAAAUUGUAAUACCGGUGAAGAUGCCGGUUACCUGCGACAGGACGGAAAGACCCCAUGGAGCUUUACUGUAGCUUGACAUUGAGUCUCGGUGCUACAUGUACAGGAUAGGUGGGAGACUAUGAAGCAUGGACGUCAGUCUGUGUGGAGUCAUCCUUGGGAUACCACCCUUGUAGUACUGGGAUUCUAACCAGAGGCCAUGAAUCUGGUCUUGGGACACUGUCAGGUGGACAGUUUGACUGGGGCGGUCGCCUCCCAAAAAGUAACGGAGGCGCUCAAAGGUUCUCUCAGUACGGUCGGAAAUCGUACGAAGAGUGUAAAGGCAAAAGAGAGCUUGAUUGCAAGACAUACAGGUCGAGCAAGGACGAAAGUCGGACUUAGUGAUCCGGUGGUUCCGCAUGGAAGGGCCAUCGCUCAACGGAUAAAAGCUACCCUGGGGAUAACAGGCUGAUCUCCCCCAAGAGUCCACAUCGACGGGGAGGUUUGGCACCUCGAUGUCGGCUCAUCACAUCCUGGGGCUGUAGUAGGUCCCAAGGGUUGGGCUGUUCGCCCAUUAAAGUGGUACGCGAGCUGGGUUCAGAACGUCGUGAGACAGUUCGGUCCCUAUCCGUCGCAGGCGUAGGAAAUUUGAGGAGACCUGUCCUUAGUACGAGAGGACCGGGAUGGACGUACCGCUGGUGUACCAGUUGUUCUGCCAAGGGCAUGGCUGGGUAGCUAAGUACGGAAAGGAUAAGCGCUGAAAGCAUCUAAGCGCGAAGCCCACUUCAAGAUAAGAUUUCCCACCGCAAGGUUAAGAUCCCAGGAAGACUACCUGGUUGAUAGGUCAGAGGUGUAAGUGCAGUAAUGUAUUUAGCUUACUGAUACUAAUAGAUCGAGGACUUGACCAA